GAUGAAGAACGCAGCGAAAUGCGAUAAGUAAUGUGAAUUGCAGAAUUCAGUGAAUCAUCGAAUCUUUGAACGCACAUUGCGCCCGCCAGUAUUCUGGCGGGCAUGCCUGUUCGAGCGUCAUUACAACCCUCAGGCCCCCGGGCCUGGCGUUGGGGAUCGGCGGAGCCCCCCGUGGGCACACGCCGUCCCCCAAAUGCAGUGGCGGUCCCGUCGCAGCUUCCAUCGCGUAGUAGCUAACACCUCGCGACUGGAGAGCGGCGCGGCCACGCCGUAAAACACCCAACUCUUCUGAAGUUGACCUCGAAUCAGGUAGGAAUACCCGCUGAACUUAAGCAUAUCAAUAAGCGGAGGA
rnacentral:misc_RNA from 1 species